UGCUAUUGUAUUGCUGUUUGACAAUAGUGAAAUCAACCGUAAACUAGCUCAUAGUUGCGAGUUAUUUAGCUAAUGCUAUUGUAUUGCUGUUUGACAGUAGUGAAAUCAACCGUAAACUAGCUCAUAUGCUAGUGGAAACAUCAUAUAAGUAUAACUGCAGCAGAAGUUUAUUCUUCCUACCGCUCUCAGAGUAGCACUUCCAUUGUCAAAAGCAAUCCUCAGCCAAAAGCUAUAUUUUCUGAAAAACGACUCUUGGAUAUCACCUUGUCGUGGGAAACAGCAGAUUACCACCCUCCAGCUAACAACAACUCUCCACCAAUCAAGGCCUCAACGAAAAAGACCACCUUUAGCAUUCACUCCGCAUUACUCCUGGCAGAGACAGGUGUCUUAUCCUACUAACACCCCACUCGUGGCCUGCACCUUAAUGUGGUUGACAGGCCUCAAUGGACAGUGAGACAGUGAUCUACCUUUGGACUGGCACCGACCAGACAUGGACACUGAAACUUGAUUUCUCAUGAAUAUCU